rnacentral:rRNA from 1 species
GCUCCCGGAUGUUAGCGGCGGACGGGUGAGUAACACGUGGGUAACCUGCCUGUAAGACUGGGAUAACUCCGGGAAACCGGAGCUAAUACCGGAUAGUUCCUUGAACCGCAUGGUUCAAGGAUGAAAGACGGUUUCGGCUGUCACUUACAGAUGGACCCGCGGCGCAUUAGCUAGUUGGUGAGGUAACGGCUCACCAAGGCGACGAUGCGUAGCCGACCUGAGAGGGUGAUCGGCCACACUGGGACUGAGACACGGCCCAGACUCCUACGGGAGGCAGCAGUAGGGAAUCUUCCGCAAUGGACGAAAGUCUGACGGAGCAACGCCGCGUGAGUGAUGAAGGUUUUCGGAUCGUAAAGCUCUGUUGUUAGGGAAGAACAAGUGCAAGAGUAACUGCUUGCACCUUGACGGUACCUAACCAGAAAGCCACGGCUAACUACGUGCCAGCAGCCGCGGUAAUACGUAGGUGGCAAGCGUUGUCCGGAAUUAUUGGGCGUAAAGGGC